CUCCCUGCGAAGGCAGCGCAGAGGUGUGGCUCCAACAACUUCCACACACACUCCCUUUCAGACGCGUCUCCCCAUCACACGAUCCCCGCCUGCAUCGGACAGCCCAGGCGGCUCCUGCAGCGGGAACCGGCAGGCGGCCUGACGGGGCGAGGAUCGUUGCCGAGGGCGGCGGCUUGCCCCAGGCGGUGGCCCUCGGCUUUCUGCUACUCACGCGCGGAGCAGCAAGCCGUGCAUCUUGAAGGCAGCGCUCACUUUGCUCCUCAGCUUCUCCGCGGCCAUCUUGAACGGUUCGCGCCACUGCCAUGAGAGGCCGCCUCCCGCCCCGCCUCGGCCCAAGGAGUGGAGGCGGAGAUGCUGCUCGGGAAAGGAAUUCGUGUUUCCCCCCCAGAAAAAAAGUGUUUAAUUGGACCGUUUGUGUCAGCUUCUGGAAUGUUUGUGAUGCUGUUCUGGAUUUGCCACACAUGCGAAUUGUGUUGGUCCCAAUUAAAGGGAUGUCUCUGAAGCUGGUGAGGUUUUGGAAGAUACUACCUGUGAGAGCAACAAAGAGGACUGCAAGGCUUAAAGAAGCCAGCUUUUAUUUCUAAAUAAAAUGUUUUUUGUAUUCA